AAGAUUAAUACCGCAUAAGAUUGUAGUAUCGCAUGAUAUAGCAAUUAAAGGAGCAAUUCGCUAUAAGAUGGACCCGCGUCGCAUUAGCUAGUUGGUGAGGUGAUGGCUCACCAAGGCGACGAUGCGUAGCCGACCUGAGAGGGUGAUCGGCCACAUUGGGACUGAGACACGGCCCAGACUCCUACGGGAGGCAGCAUG
rnacentral:rRNA from 1 species